AUCACGCCACUGCACUCCAGCCGGGGCAACAGAGCAAGACCCUGUCUCAAAAAAAGCAAAGCAAAGCUUUGGGGCGGAAGUUGGGGUGCUCGGACUUUAAAUCCCAGGCCCCCCACUUUGGUGUGAUUGCGGGCAUGCUCCUGACCUCUCUGCGCCUGACUUCCCCCAGCUGCAAAGGGGGCUGAUAAUGCUGCCCAGACCCCAGAGGCCCCCUAGGAGGCUCCUGCUGGGCAGCUGGUCCUGCCCCAGAGCCCUCCCACUCCACGCACCCCCACUUACACUCAAGGGCAGACGGGCCCCCCCCCAACCAAGCCAGGCCUGGUGGCCCUAGGACACUCUUGGCCACAAGAAUUCAGAUUAUUUUCUCAGCAAAUUUCUGACCCCUGUCCUGGGGCCUUGGCAGGGGCAGGGCUGCAUGGUCCUGGGGAUCUGACUAAAACCUCAGCCCCCCACGGGUCUGGGAACACAGGCAGGUUCUCUGCCAACCAGGAGCGGCUCCUGCUUGCCUGGACCCCACGGGGCAGAAAGAGUGGGCGUUCAUAUCAUUCCCAUUUUGCAGCCAGGCAGACUGAGACCCAGAGAGGCCAGAUAACUUGCCUCAGGCCACACAGUUGGCAAAGGAUAGGGCCAAACCUUGGUGAUGGCCAGACUCUAAAUCCAGGGCUCCACCAGGCCACCUCUUGCCUUAGGAAUAUAGCCUUCCCUGGCACUUCCUUAGCCAAGAAUCUUUCUAGAAGGGUGGCAGGCCUUCCUGCCCCAUAACCGGAAAAGGCCAGCUGCUCUCCGGGCCAGAAGAGCCAGGGAACAGCUCUUUGGAGGAGGGGGCUUGUGAGAGUGCGGCGGGCAGCACUGCAGCUUGCACGUGGUAGGGGUGUGGGGUCAAGGUGUGCAGGGCAAGGACAAGUCAGUCCCCGCCAGAAGUGCGCCGCUGAGGGGCCUACGUGUGUCCCUUUCAGCAGCACUGGCAUGGCACAUUCUGACCUGAGCAAUGGUGAGCUGCCCGGAAUAAGAACCGGAGGAAGAGAACCUUCCCCGGGUGGCAUGUGAGGCUGGGGUGGCACUCGACACAGGACAGUGGGCAAGGACAUGCCCCCCUCCAGGCCAAGGGUCUCAGGAGCCUUCCCUCCUGCUCCUGCUGUGGUCUCCCCCUCAGGCCUGGCAUGGGAGGAGUUAAGCUGCCUCGGGCACCUUGGCACAUAGCGCUGCCCAGAGUGUCCAGCUCCCCACCCCCACUGCUUUUCUUCCUUUUUGCCUUUUUCCUUCUUAAUUAAUCAUAUGCUGCUGUCCAAUUUAAAUAUGGAAAUGCCCAGGCCGAGGCGGUGCAAUUAUUCAUGAGGGCCGGGUGGCGGUCCGGGGCUCUCGGGCUGUGGGGAGUACCGUGGCAUCGCCUCCGUUCUGAUGUGUGUGAAAUUAUGUGCACAAAAGGCGCCUCCUUAUCUGGGUGUGUGAACUAAAUAAAUAAAUAAGGGCUUUUGUUUGUUUGUCGGCUCCUGCACAUGGCUGCUGGGACUCAAGCGCUCGUGUUGUCUGCGCCUCUGUGGGACUCGGGAGUCGGGAGGCAGGGGAGGCCCCCGCAGGCUGGCCAGGGGCUGGGGGCUGGGGGCCGGCCGCCGGGCACCUGGGGCCCUCUCCCUCCCCUGGCACCACCCUCACCCUGCAGCCCCCCCGCCAUACACACCCUCAUUGGAAAGUUUGCCCUGCCCGGGCUGGGCUCCCAGGCAGUCUGGCACCGUGCCAGGCUCGCCGCUGAGCUCGGGCAGCAGGGUGGGACGAACGCAGAGCACGGAGGACGGGGCCUGGCGACCUGGGCACCAGCAGAACCCGAGGCCAGGGGCCGGGGGCCCAGAAGAUGGAGAUUCUAGAGCCUUGGAGACGGAAUUCGAUGUUUUGCUGUGAUUUGGCAUUAAAUUACUGACCCAUGGGGAGGAGGGUAACUUUCCCUUAAAAGGUAUAAAAUGAAGUUCUCAGUCCCACUUUUUAAUUAAAAAAAAAAAAUCUCUGCAAAGAUUGUGCCUUCUGGCUUUUCUUUGCUAAAUGAAAGUGGCAUGUGUUUUUAUUUUAGAAGGCAGAGAUGUUUUGCUGUGCCCAGUGUGAGGAAGGGAAGGAAAAGAAAGGUCUUUUGAAAAUGUGCACGUCGACCUACAGCUUAAAAAUCCCAAGUGCCAGACAUUUUUCUCAGAGGAAAUAAACGUCUUCAACGUAUUAAUCUUACCUGUUGAUUAUAUUCUGUAAUGAUUUAUUCUAGAAUUUAAUCCUUGCCUAGAACUGAGGCUGUCUUUGGAAAGCGGAAGACCUAGUUCUCUUUGUCCCGGCGACAUUGUGCCUCUCUGUUAAAAUCACUGACCAUGGGGAUCUGGACCCAGGCAGCUGUGCUAGGCAGCUCGGCCCGCUCGGCCUUCAAAAAACAAGGGAUGGGAGACAUAUGCUUGGCUCACAUCAUUUUGUUCUGAUUUAUUUUAAACUGCUUAAGAUGAUUUUAGCACAAAGAGUGGUGUAUCUUCCUUGCAUUCUGAGAGCCACUGGAUUUUCAAGCUAGAGUACAAUUUUUUUUUAUCCAAAUUUAGAAAUUGCCUUACAGAGAAGACAACAGUAUGCUAGUUUGCCUUUUAACUCACUUUUAAAGAAAGAUACUUAAGAUCAAGUACAUUGAAUUUGGAGAUUGGUUCCCCCUCCGUUAUUAGGGGCUGGAAAUGGCCCAUUUUUCAAAACUAAGGUCGGAAAAGGGGUAUCUCUGGCAAAGGAGUUCUUCCAGGCUGGGCUUGUACCACAGAGAUUCUUCCACACACGUGUCUCGAGUCCUUGUCCUAUACACAGGUUUUACUCCCAGGGAGGAGUGUGGCAUUCAGUCCCAAUGUCACCGUGUGGAAAACAGUCCCUGCCUGGCUAAGUAACUGUCACAGGCAGUAGGGCCACUUCCCAGCAUGACCCACAAGCUAGAUGGUGCCCCUCGAGUGGUUAAGAGAUCCGUGCAAAUAUUAUUCUUUUAAAGAAGCCAACGCAAUCUUCACAAAUUGCAGUCUCAGCCUGGCUGCUGGUUCUACCUCUAAUAAUGGAAAAAAAUUUAAGAUUGGGGACAACAGGAAACGCGUUGGAUCCCCAGGGGAAGCAGCCUGGAAGCUACAGCAGGGGGUGGGGGACCCCAGGGCUCUGUUCAAGUCCCGGGGCUGUUCCCUUUAUUCCUCCGAGCCUCAGCUCCCCGGAUUUAAAAUGAGAACAGCACCCAGCCCAGCCCACUGCCAAGGGCUGUUGCGGGAAUCUGACAACAGCCACCAAUAUUUGCAUAGCCGAGCUGCCCAGUUUCAUUUUCUGUUUGAAAGUUUCUCUGAAGGGUGACGUGCUGGAGACACGAGAACAACUGCUAUCAUCUUAAUAACUUUUCUGGCAAAACACGACCAUGAUUGUUUAUGUUAAUCUCGCAACUGUUGACAAUAAUUCAUUUCAUUCUCAUCAUGAAUUUUAUCUAUUUGACUUAUAAUAAAUAUGAUCAUAUCAGU